UGGGGCGUCGGCAAGUGGCAAGCCACAGGAUUUUGGAUCCUGUACCGUAGGUUCGAAUCCUACCGCCCCAG
rnacentral:tRNA from 1 species